rnacentral:rRNA from 1 species
GGCUGUAAACCUCUUUUAUCAAGGAAGAAGAUCUGACGGUACUUGAUGAAUAAGCCACGGCUAAUUCCGUGCCAGCAGCCGCGGUAAUACGGGAGUGGCAAGCGUUAUCCGGAAUUAUUGGGCGUAAAGCGUCCGCAGGCGGCCCUUCAAGUCUGCUGUUAAAAAGUGGAGCUUAACUCCAUCAUGGCAGUGGAAACUGUUGGGCUUGAGUGUGGUAGGGGCAGAGGGAAUUCCCGGUGUAGCGGUGAAAUGCGUAGAUAUCGGGAAGAACACCAGUGGCGAAGGCGCUCUGCUGGGCCAUCACUGACGCUCAUGGACGAAAGCCAGGGGAGCGAAAGGGAUUAGAUACCCCUGUAGUCCUGGCCGUAAACGAUGAACACUAGGUGUCGGGGGAAUCGACCCCCUCGGUGUCGUAGCCAACGCGUUAAGUGUUCCGCCUGGGGAGUACGCACGCAAGUGUGAAACUCAAAGGAAUUGACGGGGGCCCGCACAAGCGGUGGAGUAUGUGGUUUAAUUCGAUGCAACGCGAAGAACCUUACCAGGGUUUGACAUCCUGCGAAUCUCUUGGAAACAGGAGAGUGCCUUCGGGAACGCAGUGACAGGUGGUGCAUGGCUGUCGUCAGCUCGUGUCGUGAGAUGUUGGGUUAAGUCCCGCAACGAGCGCAACCCACGUCUUUAGUUGCCAGCAUUUAGUUGGGCACUCUAGAGAGACUGCCGGUGAUAAACCGGAGGAAGGUGUGGAUGACGUCAAGUCAUCAUGCCCCUUACAUCCUGGGCUACACACGUACUACAAUGCUACGGACAAAGGGCAGCAAGUUCGCGAGGACAAGCAAAUCCCAUAAACCGUGGCUCAGUUCAGAUCGUAGGCUGCAACUCGCCUACGUGAAGGCGGAAUCGCUAGUAAUCGCAGGUCAGCAUACUGCGGUGAAUACGUUCCCGGGCCUUGUACACACCGCCCGUCACACCAUGGAAGUUGGCCACGCCCGAAGCCGUUACUCCAACCCUUGUGGAGGAGGACGUCGAAGGUGGGGCUGAUGACUGGGGU